GUCCACAAAGUGUUGAUGUCCCUUCAUCUGAACUCUAGCUGUGUCUAUUCUAAGGACCUAGCUCCAAUAGUUGUGCUAGAUAUUAUAAAUAAUUGAUUUUUCACUAGUUGAUCUUGAACUAAGUAAUUUUAAAAUAUAAAACAAAAAAUACAGAUAUUAAUUUUCAUACGCAAUUAAUUGGAUACAUUUACUUUAAAUUUAAUUUUCAUUUUUCGAAAAAGAACAUUUAUUAAUUACGUGCUUUUAUUGGGUUUGGUUGAAAAGUUGUUUUAGAUUACAGCACCUUAUUAUAGGGAAAUUGUUGUAAUUUCACUCGUAUUUACAUUUAAAUGUAUAUUAUCUGUACAAGAAUGUAUAUAUUGGUAUACUAUAAAUAAUACUAUAAUAUUGGUAUCUAUCAGUAUAUAAAUUUAAGUAUAUCAUUAUACCAAAACUAAUGCAAGAAGUCAAGGCAUACACCUGAUCGAUUUCAUUUAUAAUUCAUUCCAGUUAUCUUUUGCCUGUUUAUGUAGCUAUAAAUGUCUUCAUUUAUUAAAUACUGCCAAAUUAUGAAAUAAUUCAUCAAAGCCAUGUAUGUUCAAUGUAUUUUAGAAAGGUUCUUGUAAGAAUGCUAAAAAUUUGUGUUAAGAAAUAUCAGUCGGCAUGAGAUUUAUUCGUCUGUCCAUGGAUGUACUUUGAAGUUAGUUUUUUAUUGAAAAUAAAACAAAACACAUGUAUACUUUAAUUCAAGACAAAUAAAUGAUUUUAUGUUGUUGCACUUCUAAAACGAAUUUAUUUUGUACAUUUGCAACUGAAAAGACUAACUGGCUCUGGUAUAGGCUACAGCGAUGUCACAUUACCCAAAUUAGUCUUCAGCAGUGCAGUUCUUCAGCUGUCCUUAUAACGAUUAAAAAAGGAAAUGCUCUGUUCUUGUUUGUGCAAUUUGCGUUCAACACAACGUAUAAAACCU
rnacentral:misc_RNA from 1 species